rnacentral:rRNA from 1 species
AUUGAACGCUGGUGGCAGGCUUAACACAUGCCAGUCGAACGGUAACAGGAAUUAGCUUGCUCAUUUGCUGACGAGUGGCGGACGGGUGAGUAAUGCUUGGGAAUCUGGCUUAUGGAGGGGGAUAACUACGGGAAACUGUAGCUAAUACCGCGUAAAAUCUUCGGAUUAAAGGGUGGGACUUUCGAGCCACCUGCCAUAAGAUGAGCCCAAGUGGGAUUAGGUAGUUGGUUAGGUAAAGGCUGACCAAGCCGACGAUCUCUAGCUGGUCUGAGAGGAUGACCAGCCACACUGGAACUGAGACACGGUCCAGACUCCUACGGGAGGCAGCAGUGGGGAAUAUUGCACAAUGGGGGGAACCCUGAUGCAGCCAUGCCGCGUGAAUGAAGAAGGCCUUCGGGUUGUAAAGUUCUUUCGGUGACGAGGAAGGUUGAUAGGUUAAUAGCCUAUCAAAUUGACGUUAAUCACAGAAGAAGCACCGGCUAACUCCGUG